rnacentral:rRNA from 1 species
AUUGAACGCUGGCGGCAUGCUUUACACAUGCAAGUCGAACGGUAACAGGGUGCUUGCACCGCUGACGAGUGGCGAACGGGUGAGUAAUGCGUCGGAACGUGCCGAGUAGUGGGGGAUAACGCAGCGAAAGUUGUGCUAAUACCGCAUACGUACUGAGGUAGAAAGUGGGGGACCUUCGGGCCUCACGCUAUUCGAGCGGCCGACGUCUGAUUAGCUAGUAGGUGAGGUAAAGGCCCACCAAGGCGACGAUCAGUAGCUGGUCUGAGAGGACGACCAGCCACACUGGAACUGAGACACGGUCCAGACUCCUACGGGAGGCAGCAGUGGGGAAUUUUGGACAAUGGGCGCAAGCCUGAUCCAGCCAUUCCGCGUGAGUGAAGAAGGCCUUCGGGUUGUAAAGCUCUUUCGCAAGGGAAGAAAACUUAGCCACUAACAUUGGCUGAGGUUGACGGUACCUUGAUAAGAAGCACCGGCUAACUACGUGCCAGCCGCCGCCGUAA